AGGCCAGAGGUCGGCGCUGCUGCAGGAGAGCACGUGUUCAUAGGACACGAUCACACUGAGGCCCCGGGCCCACAGGUUACGCAGGGUCAACACCUCCUGAAAUAUUAUUAAAGAAUAUAAGAUAAUAAGAUUGUUGUUAUUCUAUUUUUAUUUUUAUUAAUAGACCAGAUUAUCCUUUCUUCUCUCUUCUUUUUUUCCACCUUUUGUUAUUUUAUUAUAUUGACAUUAUUACUUAACUAUAUUGUACUUUUUCUUUUUUUUCGGUAUGCACUGUGCAAAAAAAGUUCUCUUUACCCAACGACAAUCACAAAAGAUCUAUAAGAUAUUAUUGUUUAAAAUAACAAACACUUCACAUAUGACCUCAAAUCAGCUUAAUGGGUAUACAAAAUGUCCUCUAUAGACCAAAAGGUAUUCAAAUAUAUUUAUUAAAUAGUAACCAAAAGAGCGAGCACUUGUUGUAUGCAUUUGCAGCACCAAGAGGGUUGUCUCCUCUCAGAAAAACAUGGACAUUAAUUCUGCAUCCUUUCUUUAUGGGUCUAUUUGCAACCAUGCAUUGACUUUGUAGGUCAUUGACAGAAGAAGCAUGCAGAUUUCAUGAUUAACCUCUGCAGGAGUAGUCUCACCGUUUUGGGGCAGAGUUUGGAGGCGAACACGCUGCGGAUGGUGCUGAUCAGCAGCGUGUGCAGCGCCGGGCUCAGGCCCAGGAAGUGACUGAAGGAGAGGAUGAGCACCUCCCGGGGGUGAGCAUCCAUCCACUGCCUGAUCUCCAGCAGCACCGCCUGCAGACAGGACACACGUGAGCGCGGUGUACACUCCGUGGUAGAAGUAGAGGUCCGUGGAUGUGUCAUUGGGUCGGUGAGCGAUCCUCAGGUCACAGUAUCUGACCCCCGAGUCCAGCUGCUGCUUUAUGCCGACCUCCUGCAGCACACGAGAGAGGAAGAAAAUAAGAAUUAACUUCAUAAUCAUCAUACAAAGGGCCGGAUGAGAGGCUUCAUGAAUUUGUCGAGUUUCUGCAGCAGGUCGGGCUGCGUGAGGUCCACCGGAGAGCGGUCGUUCAUAUCCAGACAAACCUGCAGAACCGGACCGACCAGCACUCAGAAACACAGACACUAAAGGAGGUCCAUCCCACACAACAUGUCAUGGCUGAGCAGAACAAAAGCUGCAGGACAGACCCUCCGCAGCUCAGCCUGGAAACACCUGCUCAGCCCCGGGGAGGAGGAGCACAGCAGGCCCGGUGCAUCGUACCUCCGGUUACCGGGGAUCCAUGACGGUGUAAUGUCCCG